UACAGAGGGUGCGAGCGUUGUCCGGAAUCACUGGGCGUAAAGGGCGCGUAGGCGGCUCAGUAAGUUUGCGGUGAAAGCCCGGGGCUCAACCCCGGGUCGGCCGUGGCAACUGCUGGGCUGGAGCACUGUAGAGGCAGGUGGAAUUCCGGGUGUAGCGGUGGAAUGCGUAGAGAUCCGGAAGAACACCGGUGGCGAAGGCGGCCUGCUGGGCAGUAGCUGACGCUGAGGCGCGAAAGCGUGGGGAGCAAACAGG
rnacentral:rRNA from 1 species